rnacentral:rRNA from 1 species
GACGAACGCUGGCGGCGUGCCUAAUACAUGCAAGUAGGACGCAGUUGCGAAUGGGUGAGUUACGCGUCGGUAACUACCUAUUAGAGGGGGCUAACUAUUGGAAACGAUAGCUAAUACCGCCUACUAGUAGAUGGACCUGCGUUGUAUUAGCUAGUAAGUAGGGUAAUGGCCUAACUAGGCAACCGUACAUAGCCAAGCCUGGGAGGGGGUCGGCCCAACUGGGAAUGAGGCACUGGCCCGGCUCCGUCGGGAGGGAGCAGGAGGGAAACUUCGGCAAUGGGGCGAACGCUGAACGUGCAACGCCGGGGUAGUGGAGAAGGGUCUCGGAUCGUAAAGCUCUGUUGUUAAGGAAGCGGUACUUAACCAGAAAGGGACGGCUAACUACGUGCCAGCAGCCGCGGUAAUAC